rnacentral:lncRNA from 10 species
GAGACCGCCCCGGGGGCGGGGCUGCCUCGCCCCUUCCUGCUCCGCUCCUCGCGUCGCGGCCCCGCCCCCGCGGCCGCUGCGCGCCGGACGGGGCCCAAGCGGGGGUCGGAGCCUCAAGGCUGCGGCGGCGACGAGCUCCGAGCGGGACACUGAACGGCCCGUAUGCGCAAGAUAAGCACGGACUGAAUCAGGUACACGCACCUGCCGGGGACGCACUGACCGAGGUGCGGACGGCGGUACCAGGACAGGUAAAGCCGCGAACACUCGGACCUAAGAACUUGACAGGUACACCCUGCCUGAUGAAGCUACGUACGGCCAGGUGCGCAUCGAGUGAAUCAGGGUGAGAACCUACUUCUUCAUAAAGAGAAUUUGGAGGGAGCUUUUUGUUCUGCGGGGACAACAUCUGGAUUUGAAUACAUCCAUGCUCAAAAGGAGAUUUCUCAUAAUGGACCCAACUGAAAGCACUCAGAGUACAAGGACCGGUGAGCUUUCAAAAGGAGACACUUCGGGAGACUCGCCAGGGGCCCUCGUAUCCCCGGCAGCGCGAGUUUUGGAGGUCAGUGGAGGGCUCUCGCAUCAUGCAUGUAACUUUCAUACUCAAAAACUUACCUUCAUCCUGCAUCCCUCACCCCCCUGCAGAAACUUGGGGCUUGAAUUCAUUUAAAAACAUUUGCGGUUUCAGAAGCCUUCUUUUUAUUAUGAAGCUGCCAAGGAGAUCUUAGAAUGAAAGGCAUUUUUAGAGAUGAGAAAGAAGGAAGCCAGGCCAAGGCUGGGCCGGCUCUCAGCCGUGGGUCUGUAAAGGUGACACGUGGGACAUGGCCACCUGCAGACCCUGCAGGCGGCUGGGCAGAGGCACCCACAGGGACCUGGGUUUGAAUCCCUGCUCUGCCAGUCAUUUCCACAGCGAUCUUGGGGGAAGUUGUGUAACCUCUGGGCCCUGCGACGCCCUUUCCUGGAGCCUGGAGCUGGAACGAAGCCCCUUGGAGCCCUGACAUCAGAGGUGACGUUAGUCUUCGCAGGCAAUGACUCGGCGGAAUGUGAUGCCACUCCCUAACCCGUGUCCGGACUGGCAGAGUGUGUGCCGCCUCCCACCAGGUGGUCUGGCUGCUUUGAUGGAUCUCCUAACUUCUCUGCACCCCAGAGCCCUCAGUGCUGGCCAGACCUUCACUCACUCCUGGGUGACAACCCCGUUCUCAGAUAGUGGGUCCCACAGGCUGGCCUGUGGCGCCCCCUGCUGGUGACUGCAGGGAGAAGGAUGCCCUAAGCCAAAGGAAGUCCUUCCUGGGGUCUAAUCUCUACCUUUUGCAUGAUGAGGCAGCUGAGGUGGCUCGCUUUCUCCUCCACCCCAGAAAAUAAAGUCAUAUGGAGUCCAAGCAGUUAUUUUUCUCUGCUAGGCCAGUCCAUCAUAAGCCCCAAAUGGAGGGGCCCCUGGAAUGAGCCCUAUGCAGGCCUUCUAUGGACAAGGGCCCUUCAGGGAGUAGGGCUGUGGUGAGGAUGGGGUGCAUGUGUGUGGGCUCUCACCUGGGUGUGGGAAGAUCAGAGGGACCCCACAGGUCAGUGUUUGCAGAUGAAAAAAUGAAGGUAGGAGCUGGGCACGGUGGCUCACGUCUGUAAUCCCAGCACUUUGGGAGGCCAAGGCAGGUGGAUCACGAGGUCAGGAGAUCGAGACCAUCCUGGCUAACAUGGUGAAACCCCGUCUCUACUAAAAAUACAAAAAGUUAGCCAGGUAUGGUGGCGGGCUCCUGUAGUCCCAGCUACUAGGGAGGCUGAGGCAGGAGAAUGGCGUGAAUCUGGGAGGCGGAGCUUGCAGUGAGCCGAGAUCGCGCCACCGCACUUCAGCCUGGGCUACUGAGCAAGACUCCAUCUCAAAAAAAAAAAAAAAAAAAAAAAGAAGGUAGGAAGCUUCAGCCUGAAGGUAAAGUUUUGGGGCAGCUCCAACCCACUGCCCUCCUGGGACCGGUUUUAUCAGCGUUUCCCUGUAAUUGGUGAAAGGCCUUCAGUUAGCCAUUUCUCUGAAGAUUAGAGAAAGCAAGAGAGAUGUGAGUUAAACACAAGGCGGGACUUCUCAAUGAUGGGGGAUGUCAGACCUCAGAAAGGGGAGCAAAGGAACCUUCCCACUGAGGGCAGCCUCCAGUGAGGUGGGGUCCAGGCCAGGCGGGUGAGAUGGCCCUCAACACUGUCCAUCUGGAGGGGCCUGGGACUAGGUUGUAGUCUAUGGGGGUCUCAGGAUGGAAAGGCCUCUUGAGAGGCUCCUGGUGGCUGGGACUUUUGUGGAUGGGAUGGUGAGGACGGGCAGGGGGAGAGACUGAGGCCCAGAGGCAUUGCCACCCCCAUCCUCCCCCGCCUGGUAAACUCAUCUUCCUGACUCAUUGGCUUGCCUCCUCUGCGGACACUGCCUGGUCCCUGUGCAAGGUCACGUUGCUUGCCCUCCACGAGCUCCCGUCCUGCUGCUGAGCUCAUGUUCUGUGAUGGCAGCCUCUGUGUCCAUCCUCCCUGCUGGACUGUGGGCUCCACACCGGCUGAGACCUGACUGUCUUGCUCCAGCCUGGCUCUAACUCCAGCACCUGGCACAUCUAAUCUUGCCUGGCAUGUCCUGGUGCUCAGUGGCUUCAACUGAGAAGAGGCCCAGGGUCUUCCUUGGUCCAGCUAAGCCUGGCUUUAGAAAGGAUUGGGGCAGACGUAGGGGAGGCAGAGCCCCAAGUCUUGAUGGAUGGGUGACCUGGGCACUCUGACUUUCUGCACAGGGCUACCCCUUUCCCCCAUUGAGACACCCUCCUAACUCAGCUGUAGGCUCUGACACCCCACUUCUGGCUGGCUCUGGCUUCCCACACUGGAACCAUCCCCUGCAUGGCUGCCUUGCUUUGUCUGCCUGGGCUCUGACACCCAUAUCAGGCUGACCCCAUAGGGGUGACAGCCCCUCACUGAUUUGUACUCUGACACCCCUGGGCCAGCCUGCCUUCCCCAGUGGUCCCCCUCCUCACUCUGCUAGGAAUCCUGCUGUGUUCAUCCAUGGUUCCCCCAUUCCCUUGCUCUGCUGCACAUAAUAGUUUUAGGACUGAAUUGUUGAGGAAGGAAAGGAGAGAGGAGGAACAGAACUCUGUUUUUGAAAAAUUAUUUUAACUGUGGACAUUUUUGUGCGAGAAAAAUUUUGGACAGAAUACUAAAUGGAGCUGCUCUGGUUGAAGAAAGAGUGAAAGAGAGGGAGAAAGAGAAGAGAAUGGGAAAGGACAGACAGCAGAGAGGAGAGGGAGAGGGGAGAGAGAGGACAGGGGAGGGAAGAGGAGAGGGGAGGGGAGGGGAGAGAUGAGGGGAGGGGAGGGGAGAGGAGAGGAGGAAGCCCUUCAAUGCCCCUGGAGUCCUGCCCACUUGGUCCCACUCCCUCAGAACUCUCAUCUGUCAUUAAGCUCUUGGGGUUCCUAGGUGUGCAGUUUGGGGACCACCGGACAAGAAUUCUGCCUCAAAUAAAAUGAGUGCCACUUAGCCGCUAAGAUGUCUUCUCUGAGCUUUUCUGAGAAGCAGCCCUGGAGGCAGCGGGCUCACCACCUACCCUGAGUAGCUUCUGAGCCUGGCAGCAGUCACCUGGAGCUUGAGGGUAGCAGCUGCCUCUGCCUGGAGGAGGCAUCUCUGAGCAGGGCCAGGGGGCCCUGGACAGGCAUUGGAGGUGUCCUUCCGGGCCUGGUGGAAGUGGGCUAGGGGCUGUGAGUGAGAAGACUUCUAUAGGCCGAGGCACUGGGUAGACACCUCACCCCCAGCCAUCUGUGGACCCUUUGUGACCCUUUAUGCUCCAUCUCUGUCUCCCCCACAAUCACCGGAGAAACAGGAUCUGGGAAUUCUGCCUUGGUGGCCGAAGCAGAAGUCACUGCCCUCCUAAUGCCACUCAUCGGACCACACAACACUUUCACCGCCAGUCCUUGUGUGAUUUGAUCUUUGCAAAUCAGAGAUAGUACUGUUAAUAAUUUCCCUGCAGGAAAGAGGAAGUUAAGGAUAUGAGGAAUUGCCGUCAGGAUCAGAGAUCAUCACUACGAAGAGCAAAACAGGCCACUUGCCCACCUUGACAGAGCUGGUAAGUGGCAGAGCCAGGACCAUCCAGACGGCUCAGCUUCCAAGCCAGCAAGCCUCAUCGCCAUGCAGUUUGUCCCCAGGGAGGAAGGAUGCUUCUGGUCCCAGGGUCCAGGAUGCUCUACCCUCCUUCCUCUAGGAUAUCCAGGGGGCCAGCUUUAGUGAGAGGAGAGUGCAUGGUCCAGCCUUCUGGGGGCACCCAGAGUGUCCCCUUCCACUCCCAGCUUCCCACUUCUGCUCCACUGUCUCCCUGCAGGAGGCUCUGGGAAGGCAGAGAUGGAGCUGUGGUCCCCACCGCCUUCUGUGGCAGCUCACUUUCAUUCAUUUUCUUUAAAUGCUUCUCACUCUCUGUUUUUAAAUCUAAUUUUUCAGCUUCUUUUUCAUCUUCAUUCAAGUUGCUUUAAUGAAACGAAAAUGUGUCUGUUUCCCUCUGCUGGAGCUGCCCGGGGAAUUUCAAUAUAAAACAAACAAGUUGGCUUUUAAAAUUAAAAUUUUAUGGGUGGCAUUUCCUCAUUUAAUGGGUGGCACAAAAGAGUGGAGUAAAACCAAUUAACAUGGGGUUGAGACUCGGUGUUCAGAAAAACUAAACAACAGGAGCGCGGUGCGCCAGGAGCCAGGAGCAGUUCCAGCAGAGGCUGGGGAGGUGCGCGGGUGAGGCAGUUGUGGAGGCUCCCCCCACUCCCUGGCAGCUGUGUGCACCCAGGUCGGGCACUAGCACAUACAGGGAUGCCAGCCUCAGCUCCCCACCCAGCUCUACCCCCAGGACCCAUGCCCAGGGGUUGGUGUGCACAUCUACCUUGCACAUUCAGAUGGCAGGCGAUAGUGGGGGCUGAGAAUGUGGAGGGGCGGGGGAGGCUGCCUUGGAGCCCUGGGGUCCUGGACACUGUUGUCUGGAGAAGCAUUAGGAAGUAGCUAAGGCCUCUGCCAGGGCCAGCAUUCAUUCGGAUAGUUAUCCUCUGACGCAAUCUGAGUCCUACUCACGAGGGCCUCAUCUUCAUCAUGGCUAUGCCCCAGGGCCCAGACCGCACCAGGAGUGUGGCAAGUGCUGCAUAGAUGCUGGAUACCUGGAUGAAUGACUUCAUUCCGGCAAACAAUACUAAUGGAAAUCCUGCUCUGCUGUGACUCCCUCAGGGUGGGUGUCACCCGGCAUAGGGUGUGUUUGGGGUAGAAAUGGUGAAGAUACCACAGGAGAUCUGAGGAGCAGGGGCAUGCCUGGGUGGCGCUGCAGGGAGAGAAUGGCUCUGUGGAACUGGCAAGGGCAGAGUGAACAGGGCUGGAGAAGAGGCAGUCCGGGCAAGGGCGGGGUGGGGAGGGAGCUGAGAAAUUGAGGUGGCUGAAUCUGGCCUGGAAGGAAGUAGGGGUAAGAAGAUGAGUCUGGAGAGACCAGUCGGGGCUGGCUUGUGAAGAGUGGCAGGUUGCUUUGACUUCAUCUCAGGGCAAUGGGGACUUGCUGCAGGCUCAGAGCAAGGUGAUGUGAUUCCAGGUGGCUUCAGGGACACUGACUCUGGAGGCUGGUGGGAGGGAAAGGAGAGUCCCGCCAGGUGUGCUGGCAUCCCUGCAGGCUGAGCUGAGUACUUCAGGCUGGUUGGU